rnacentral:lncRNA from 1 species
AGAGAUAUAUAUAUAUAUAUAGAGAGAGAGGGGGGGAGGGAGGGAGGUUGAACAAAGGAAAAGCAAGCCCAAACAAAAACAAAGAAAAAGAAAACUGAAAAGACAUCAAUUGCACAGAAAAAGUUUCAUCUAGUGCAGCAACAGUAAUACAUUCCUAAAAUUAAGAAAACUCAACCAUAUCUAUCAACAAUUUUUCAAAUCCAAAGUGAUCAAAAAAGAAAACCACAACAGCCGUGAAACUAUAGAAUCAACAGAAUGAACUCUGGAAAGCUAUUAUUGCUUGUUUUUAUAAGGUAAAUUUUUCUUUCAAAAUUGUGAAAACUCAAAAUAAAAUUUUAGGUUUUUCCUGCGAUGGAAAGAUAAGGUAAUUAUGGAUAAACAAGCUUAAGUUAGCAGACUCACCAAUCAAGAAAAUUAGAAGUUCUACGACGGAAAGAUAAGGUAGUUAUGGAAAAACAAGCUUAAGUUAGCAGACUCACCAAUCAAGAAAAUUAGAAGUACCACAGAAGAAAGCAUUUGAACAGGCCGAUUAUAUUUCAUAUAAUACUGAGACCGUUGCAGCUGUCGUUGCACUGCUCCAUACCAACCAUCGAGUUGCUUUUCAUAAUUUUCAUCGCAUCCAUCAAGGCAAAUCUUACUCGUUUCAUAACAUGUGUUGAUGC